rnacentral:rRNA from 1 species
UGUUUUCCCCGCGGGAGCGAGUUCUCCUUCGAGCGUUGUUGCAGCCCGCGCGUGGAGUGGAGGUGGUCGGCCGCAUCGGAGGUGGCAAGAACUGUGGCGC